CACGUAGGGGGCGAGCGUUGUCCGGAUUCAUUGGGCGUAAAGGGCGCGCAGGCGGUUCUGUUUGUCGAGUGUGAAAGCCCCGGGCUCAACCUGGGAACUGCGCUCGAAACGGCAGAACUAGAGUUCGGGAGAGGAGAGUGGAAUUCCCAGUGUAGAGGUGAAAUUCGUAGAUAUUGGGAAGAACACCGGUGGCGAAGGCGGCUCUCUGGACCGAUACUGACGCUGAGGCGCGAAAGCGUGGGAGCAAACAGGAUUGAGAUACCCGUAGGUAG
rnacentral:rRNA from 1 species